GCAGCAGUGGGGAAUCUUGCACAAUGGGCGAAAGCCUGAUGCAGCCAUGCCGCGUGUGUGAUGAAGGCCUUAGGGUUGUAAAACACUUUCAGAGGGGAAGAUAAUGACGGUACCCUCAGAAGAAGCUCCGGCUAACUCCGUGCCAGCAGCCGCGGUAAUACGGAGGGAGCCAGCGUUGUUCGGAAUUACUGGGCGUAAAGCGUGCGUAGGUGGUUUGUUAAGCAAGAUGUGAAAGCCCCGGGCUCAACCUGGGAACUGCAUUUUGAACUGGCAAACUAGAGUAUUGUAGAGGGUAGUGGAAUUUCCAGUGUAGCGGUGAAAUGCGUAGAGAUUGGAAGGAACAUCAGUGGCGAAGGCGGCUACCUGGACAAAUACUGACACUGAGGCACGAAAGCGUGGGGAGCAAACAGGAUUAGAUACCCUGGUAGUCCACGCCGUAAACGAUGUCAACUAGCCGUCUGUGACCUUGAGUCGUGGGUGGCGCAGCUAACGCACUAAGUUGACCGCCUGGGGAGUACGGCCGCAAGGUUAAAACUCAAAUGAAUUGACGGGGACCCGCACAAGCGGUGGAGCAUGUGGUUUAAUUCGAUGCAACGCGAAGAACCUUACCUACUCUUGACAUCCAUGGAAGAUCUUGUAAUGAGAUUGUGCCUUCGGGAACCAUGUGACAGGUGCUGCAUGGCUGUCGUCAGCUCGUGUUGUGAAAUGUUGGGUUAAGUCCCGCAACGAGCGCAACCCUAAUUGCUAGUUGCCAUCAGGUAAAGUUGGGAACUUUAGCAAAACUGCCGGUGAUAAACCGUGAGGAAGGUUGGGACG
rnacentral:rRNA from 1 species